AUUGAACGCUGGCGGCAGGCCUAACACAUGCAAGUCGAGCGGAUGAAGGGAGCUUGCUCCUGGAUUCAGCGGCGGACGGGUGAGUAAUGCCUAGGAAUCUGCCUGGUAGUGGGGGAUAACGUCCGGAAACGGGCGCUAAUACCGCAUACGUCCUGAGGGAGAAAGUGGGGGAUCUUCGGACCUCACGCUAUCAGAUGAGCCUAGGUCGGAUUAGCUAGUUGGUGGGGUAAAGGCCUACCAAGGCGACGAUCCGUAACUGGUCUGAGAGGAUGAUCAGUCACACUGGAACUGAGACACGGUCCAGACUCCUACGGGAGGCAGCAGUGGGGAAUAUUGGACAAUGGGCGAAAGCCUGAUCCAGCCAUGCCGCGUGAGUGAAGAAGGUCUUCGGAUUGUAAAGCACUUUAGGUUGGGAGGAAGGGGAAGAGGUUAAUACCUUGCUGUUUUGACGUUACCAGCAGAAUAAGCACCGGCUAACUUCGUG
rnacentral:rRNA from 1 species